rnacentral:rRNA from 1 species
UACAGAGGUCUCAAGCGUUGUUCGGAUUCAUUGGGCGUAAAGGGCGCGUAGGCGGUCGACCAAGUCUGGGGUGAAAUCUUUCGGCUUAACCGGAAAAGUGCCCCCGAUACUGGCCGGCUAGAGGGAGAUAGGGGCAUGUGGAACUUCCGGUGGAGCGGUGAAAUGCGUAGAUAUCGGAAGGAACGCCGGUGGCGAAAGCGACGUGCUGGAUCUCUUCUGACGCUGAGGCGCGAAAGCCAGGGGAGCAAACGGG